CCCUUAGAUAAGCUCCACACCUUACAAGUUCGAUCCUCAGAAGCUGCAAUUAUAAUUGCACGGCCUCCUCCAUAACCUGUUACUAUAUCAGUUACCGGUGAAGUGGUCCCUAGAAAGCUGUGCUCAUAGAGAUGGCUUGACUGCUCUGUUUGAUAAUCAUCAAAUAUCAUGAGAAGUGACCAGACUCUAACAGAUCCAUCCUCUGCCCCAGAAACCAGAAACGAAUCAUCCUUUGUAAACACCAAGCACGUAACUUCCCUAUAAUGAGCACGCCAUUUCUUAAGCAAUCUACCAGUUGCAACCUCCCAAAGGUAAAUAUGCCCAGACAAACCUCCACCAACAAUAUAGGCGCCUUCGCUGUUAGCAACAAGCGGCUUUAUUGGCUCCUCCGGAAAGCUCUUGACCUCUACUUGAGGCUUAGUCCAGGACCAAUAGUGAAUAGAGCCAGAUGAUGCAUGGGGAUCGCGCAGCUGAGAAGAGGCGAGGAAGCUGCGGCCUACGCAGGUAAGGCCGUGAGGAGUAGAGGCGCAGAAUUUAUACCGUAGGAGUUCGGCGCCUGUUUGGAGGUCCCAGCAACCGAUACCACCGUCGAUUGAGGAGGAAGCAAUUAGUACUUCUCUUUCCAUGGUGAUGGUGGAAUUGGUGUUUGGAGGUGAGUGUUUAAGCGUUUUCUCGUUUAAGA
rnacentral:misc_RNA from 1 species